CGCGGGGUGGAGCAGCUCGGUAGCUCGCCAGGCUCAUAACCUGGAGGUCGUAGGUUCAAAUCCUUCCCCCGCUA
rnacentral:tRNA from 1 species